rnacentral:rRNA from 1 species
AUUGAACGCUGGCGGCAGGCCUAACACAUGCAAGUCGAACGGUAGCACAGAGAGCUUGCUCUCGGGUGACGAGUGGCGGACGGGUAAGUAAUGUCUGGGAAACUGCCAGAGGGAGGGGGAUAACUACUGGAAACGGUAGCUAAGACCGCAUAACGUGGCAAGACCAAAGAGGGGGACCUUCUGGCCUCUUGCCAUCAGAUGUGCCCAGAUGGGAUUAGCUAGUAGGUGGGGUAACGGCUCACCUAGGCGACGAUCCCUAGCUGGUCUGAGAGGAUGACCAGCCACACUGGAACUGAGACACGGUCCAGACUCCUACGGGAGGCAGCAGUGGGGAAUAUUGCACAAUGGGCGCAAGCCUGAUGCAGCCAUGCCGCGUGUAUGAAGAAGGCCUUCGGGUUGUAAAGUACUUUCAGCGGGGAGGAAGGUCCUGAGGUUAAUAACCUCAGCAAUUGACGUUACCCGCAGAAGAAGCACCGGCUAACUCCGUG